rnacentral:lncRNA from 1 species
AUGAAGGAAACUUCAAGGAUGUCAGUGGUUUAUCAAGGAAGUGCUAGAAUUUUCCUCGGAUACAACUGUUCGAAGCCGAGCCAACCUUCCAUGCAGAAGGAACUCAUCCUGGUCCGAACUGUUCAGGUCACUGUUGACUCUGCCCCCGGCUCCAACGGCACAAAGUCACCUCCUAUUUAAAGAUGCUACAGAGGACCCUGUCCGCACAUGAGCUCCCAGGAGUGAUGGAGGGGGAGGGCUGCCUUCCCAUUGCCAUUCGUGGAGAGCAGCAGAGACUGUGUUUGGACCCCUGCCACAGAAAAGGCUGCGUUGGCCGUGUCUCCAGGGAGGACAAACUAAUUUUAACAAACUGACCCAAACAGAACUCGGAAGGUCAGUAUGUUGCAAUCUCCGGUCCUCCUGCCUGCUUCAUGGUUCGUUCCAAAAGCUAAGUAUGCUGUUUCAGUUUGAUCUGCUAUUUCGGGUGAUCUAGUCCCUGUUAGUUCUUGACAGUCCAGGAGGCGCCUGGUGGGUGGAGAAUCUUCCCCUUUCUCCUCCACAAACUUGACCCUUGUGGAGAAGGCAGCCUGGAAUCUGCUGGGUUCUGAAUGUCUCCGCCUUUUCUCCAGCGUGAGUGUUGGGCCUGAGCACGAUCUCUGCACAGAGGCCUGGGAUGUCACCGGGGUGGUGAGGCCAGAGCGGAGCUGGGACUGGCUCUUCCCUGAGGCUGAAAUCUGGCUUUUUGGCAUUGGGCUUCUGCCUCUUACUGCCUUUGGCCACAGCUCUCUCCUCCACCCUGAAAGGCCCUUGGAGUAGAAUUAUGAAUACAGUGGUGACAGCCUGGGCUCCAGGGAAAACGCGCUGGUGAUGAGAUGCCCAGGAGCUUGUUUUCCAGACUUGGCUCUGCUGAGCAGCCCUGGAAGUUGAAUCUUCACUUUGUCAAAUGAGACAUAAAGACUGUAAAUUGUCUUUCCAUCUCUGACAUACCAAGCACCGAGCUCCUCUUUUUUUUGAGACAGGGUCUUACUCCUUUUGCUCAGGCUGGGGUGCAGUGGCACAAUCUCAGCUCACUGCGGCCUUGAACUCCUAGACUCAAGGGAUCCUCCCACCUCAACCUCCUGAGUAGCUGAAACCAUGGCCAUAUGCCACCACUGCGCCCAGCUAAUUUUCGUAUUUUUUUGGAGAGAUGGGGUUUUGCCAUGCCUCAGACUCCUGGGCUCAAGUAAGCCUCCCACCUUGACCACCCAAAGUGCUGAGAUUAUAGGCGUGAUCCACUGUGCUGGCCCAAGCUUCCCU